GUGAAUCAUCGAAUCUUUGAACGCACCUUGCGCUCCUUGGUAUUCCGAGGAGCAUGCCUGUUUGAGUGUCACGUGAAACCCUCACCCCUGCGAUGUCAAAGUCGUGGACGGUGGAUUUGGACGCUGCCGUUGUUGGCUCGUCUCGAAAUGCAUUAGCCGUGCGCGUCGCGCCAGCGCCUCUCGGUGUGAUAAUUAUCUACGCCGUUCAGAGUGCCAGUGCCCAAGACCGUGGCUCAUAGCCGUCUUCGGACAAUUCACUUUAACGCUCUGGCCUCAAAUCAGGUAGGACUACCCGCUGAACUUAAGCAUAUCAAUAAGCGGAGGA
rnacentral:misc_RNA from 1 species